AGGUUAGAACACUUUUCUAAACAGUCACUAGAUGACGCAAAGAUAAACUUUUAAAGAAUAUUCCAAGUUUAACAAGGAUAAUAGGUAGAUGGCAUACUGCUUAUCUGCACGUGCAGAUUGUGCUUGCUAGCGAGCGCACGAAAACUUCGUAAACAACACAAAUCAAAACAAUAACUUGGUAGAUGUGUUAAACUUACACAAUGAACGUUGUAAAUCGCGAUUUGGUAAAAUAUGUGAAAAUAAUGCUAUUAUUUUGCUUGUGGUUCCUGAUUAUUUCAUCAUUUCGUCUUCAACAAUGAGAAGAUUGUCGGAAGAACAAAGAAGGAAUCAGUCAGAAAGGAUGAAAAAGCACGGGUGAGAGACAACAACAAUGAUGUUCGCGUGGUCCACGAUGGUUGAUUAGCAGGAAAGAAGAAGAAAGGACAAACCUUAAAGGUUUCACAAAACUUGUUACACAUUGCAACAAGUUUCACCACACUCUGGCAUCAUCAGGCAGAUGAAUAUUAAAAGUGAAAGUGCAAAAUUAAACUAUUUAUAGAAGUGGUGGGGAUACUAUUUUGAAGGGUGUAAAUUAAGCAGUGAGGAUUUGUUAACUUCUACCUGAUCUUUUAACAAUAAUCUCUUUGGGCUAUAAUUGUUGAUUUCCAAACAUUGUAGUAGGUUUAAUUUCGUGCUCUUUUUAUACCUAUCUAAAAUUUAAAAGUUAGGAUGCAAUAUAUGAUUAUGUUUUAAUAAAUGCUCUGAGUAUGAA